ACCACAUCUUUAUUUGUAUGUGGUGCUGAGGAUCGAACUCAGGCCGCAUGCAUGCCAGGCGAGCACGCUACUGCCCUCAAUUUCUCCCCAGCCCUCAAUUUCAGUUUUUAAAAAUGGCAUUAUUUUUGCAGUGUUAAGCUCUUUAACAUUUAUAUUUGAUUUUCUGGUUCUAAAUCUACUGCUUUGUCUGCCAGUUGGAUUUUGAACAUUGGUCCUUUUCCUUUAUGCCAUUACGUUUUCUUCAAAGGUCUGGAGAUCCUUCCUUGGUGAAGGCGUCUUCUUAGGAGUGAAGAGCUGCUGGAAUGGUGAGGAAGUUUGUGUGAGAGUCUUUGCAUGUCUCCUGUUCUAAAAGGCUUUCAUUUGCAUAGAAAGUCUGACUGGGGCUUUGCAUGGAAAGUGAAUCAGGUAGGCUAAGCUGUCCUAUAAUAGACAUCUUAGUAAGGACCAGAGAGGCAGACUGGUACCCCCCAAAUUGCCAAAGUAAGUAGGACAUUACUUGAGAAAAUGAAAUGCCUGUGUUUCAUUGCUAGGUACAGGGUUUCACCCUCUCCAUCCUGGGUGAACCUCUGUUCAACUUUUCUCUGGGUUCCAGUGUUCUUACUGGGAGCUGUCCUCAAGCUAGUGCCCUUUGUUUAGAGAGUAGAGCACAGGAUUUAGCCCAAACUCACAAAGACCUUUACUGCCAGCUACUUUUGAGGAUGGACUCAAUGGUUCUUGCUGGUUUGAUUACAGUUUUUUAAUGAGUGACCUUCAUCAUCAUGUCAUUGUACUUAUGACAUCUGUACAGCUUCUUCAGGAUAACUUGCAUUCAAAAGGAAUUGAUUCUGUAAUUACGCAUUGUAGACUUUUGACCAAGACAAUAUGAUGAAAAGUGGUAUUUUUGAUAGACAUAGCUAGUUGUGCUAUAUAGAUGGAUUAUAGGGGAUUUAGUCAGUGAGAUAAGAGGCUAUUCCAUUAAGCCAUGUAUAAGGAGAUCAGAGACUCGACUAGGAUAGGGAACAACAAAACUGCCAAGGACAGAAUACAUCUGAGGAAGAAUGGGCAGGGCUGGUAGAGGCUAUGUAUAGAAUUUAGAAAAAAGACCAAAGAUGAUUGUAAAAUUCUAAAUUUUAAUGACUAAGAAAAUUGACUGAAGUGUGAAAUUUUGGAGGAGAACAGGUUUGGACAAGAUGAAAAUGAUGGUGAAUUUGGGUUUAAAUGGUUGAAUUGAGCUGAUAGU
rnacentral:lncRNA from 1 species